rnacentral:tRNA from 1 species
ACAUAUUUAGUAUAAGAAAAUACAUUGGAUUUAGGUUCCAAAGAUUUUUAAUAUGUU